UAGAGUGCUUCUUCUUCAGGAACUAGAAAAAUGGAGAGAGUGAUUGUUUUUUUUUAAAUCAGAUCACAGAGUCGUUGUUGCAGCAGCAGUCGAGCGAUUGUAGCAGUCGUCGUCGCAGUAGAAUCGUCGAGCUCUGAUACCAGUGAAUGAAACACAGAGAAGAAGAAAGAUGAUAUCUUUGAGGGGGGCUCCGGUAAUGGGUAAAGGGCUUGAUUUUUCUUUUUCGUUGUGUUUUCUCAAGUAGAUUACUCCUCUAUUUAUAGGCCGAAAUCCCAUCAUCUCCACCCCCCUCAAACUGCCUCUGAGAGAAAAUCUCUCAACAAACCCCAAUUCACAUUCUCCACGAUUCUCUCUACUGAGAAACCGUUGUUGAUUUGGUCAUCCAUGACCGAGUCAAGCUAACAUCAGCCUCUAUCACAUGUGGCUCAUGUAAGAAGAGGAGGAUCAAGAAGGGUGAUGGAAAUGAAGAGUUGGAAAGCGCCGCUACUAUUAUUGGCCAUAGCAUUGAGAAGUCGGCCAUACAACUUUCUUCAAGAGUUUCUAAGUUAUCGAAGAAGAGGACGGAUGUUGUUAAAGAAGUCAUGAAGAUGACUUCCUGACUGAUGAAGCAAAAGUUAUAGUUUGUGGGAAGCUUGUAGUGAAGGAAGAGUGGGUUGAGCUUUUUUUAAGUUUGCCAAUAGUGAAGAUGAGGGGAAUUUUUGCGCUGCAGGUACUGGAUGAUCAAUAGGGUAGAUUGAAAAUUAAAGGUUGAGUGAUUCAGAAGACUAGAAGGGUUUAGUGAUGAUAUAGAUUUGCCAAGUCUUGUUGCCAAAUGGAGCAGCUUCAUGCUAAAUGAUUCAAUUGAAAAGUAACAAUACUUCAUGGUUUCAUGUGGGAGAAUGUCGAUGUCAGAGUUUAGUGAUGAUAUAGUUUUGCCAGGUCUUGAUGCCAAAAUAGAGCAGCUUUAUGCUAAAUGAUGGACACAAGGACAUACUUUUUUUAUUUCUAUGUUGAAUAUUGUAAGAUAUAUUUUUAAUACUCUCUCAGGUGUAACUCGGAUUAUGUGGAUGUUUUGAUUAGAUGCAAGGUUCUUGAAACAAGUU